AUUCAGCUGACGAGUCUUGAAUAGGACAAAACCCGCGUCCUGAAA
rnacentral:hammerhead_ribozyme from 1 species